rnacentral:rRNA from 1 species
AGAGUUUGAUCMUGGCUCAGAACGAACGCUGGCGGCGGGCCUAACACAUGCAAGUCGCACGAGAAAAGCCCUAGCUUGCUAGGGCGAGUAAAGUGGCGCACGGGUGAGUAACGCGUGGUUAAUCUACCCCUGGGUUUGGGAUAACGCGCCGAAAGGUGCGCUAAUACCGGAUAAGACCACGAUGCCUGCGGGCAUUGAGGUAAAAGAGGGCCUCUACAUGUAAGCUCUUGCCUAGAGACGAGACCGCGUCCCAUUAGCUUGUUGGUGAGGUAACGGCUCACCAAGGCCGCGAUGGGUAGCUGAUCUGAGAGGAUGAUCAGCCACACUGGGACUGGAACACGGCCCAGACUCCUACGGGAGGCAGCAGUGAGGAAUCUUGCGCAAUGGGGGAAACCCUGACGCAGCCACGCCGCGUGGAUGAUGAAGGCCCUUGGGUCGUAAAAUCCUGUCAGAUGGAAAGAAAUGUACAGGUGUUAAUAUCGCCUGUAUUUGACGGUACCAUCAAAGGAAGCACCGGCUAACUCCGUGCCAGCCGCCGCGGUAAUA